rnacentral:rRNA from 1 species
GAUGAACGCUGGCGGCGUGCUUAACACAUGCAAGUCGAACGGAGCUUAUGUGAUAGAGGUUUCGGCCAAUUGAUCAUAAGCUUAGUGGCGGACGGGUGAGUAACGCGUGAGGAAUCUGCCUUGGAGUGGGGAAUAACACAGUGAAAAUUGUGCUAAUACCGCAUGAUGCAGUUGAGUCGCAUGGCUCUGACUGCCAAAGAUUUAUCGCUCUGAGAUGACCUCGCGUCUGAUUAGCUAGUUGGUAGGGUAACGGCCUACCAAGGCGACGAUCAGUAGCCGGACUGAGAGGUUGGCCGGCCACAUUGGGACUGAGACACGGCCCAGACUCCUACGGGAGGCAGCAGUGGGGAAUAUUGGGCAAUGGGCGCAAGCCUGACCCAGCAACGCCGCGUGAAGGAAGAAGGCUUUCGGGUUGUAAACUUCUUUUGUCAGGGACGAACACAAUGACGGUACCUGACGAAUAAGCCACGGCUAACUACGUGCCAGCCGCCGCCGUAACAC